rnacentral:rRNA from 1 species
UACGGAGGGUGCAAGCGUUAUCCGGAUUCACUGGGCGUAAAGCGCGCGUAGGCGGCUUUGCAAGUCGGGUGUGAAAGCCCUCAGCUCAACUGAGGAAGUGCGCCCGAAACUGCAGAGCUUGAGUGCCGGAGAGGGUGGCGGAAUUCCCCAAGUAGAGGUGAAAUUCGUAGAUAUGGGGAGGAACACCGGUGGCGAAGGCGGCCACCUGGACGGUAACUGACGCUGAGGCGCGAAAGCGUGGGUAGCAAACAGG